rnacentral:rRNA from 1 species
AGGACGAACGCUGGCGGCGUGCUUAACACAUGCAAGUCGAGCGGAAAGGCCCUUUCGGGGGUACUCGAGCGGCGAACGGGUGAGUAACACGUGAGUAACCUGCCCCAGUCUUUGGGAUAACCCUCGGAAACGUGGGCUAAUACCGGAUGUGACCGGUCACCGCAUGGUGGUUGGUGGAAAGUUUUUUCGGUCUGGGAUGGGCUCGCGGCCUAUCAGCUUGUUGGUGGGGUGAUGGCCUACCAAGGCGACGACGGGUA